rnacentral:rRNA from 1 species
UAGGGAAUCUUCGGCAAUGGACGGAAGUCUGACCGAGCAACGCCGCGUGAGUGAAGAAGGUUUUCGGAUCGUAAAGCUCUGUUGUUAGAGAAGAACGUUGGUAGGAGUGGAAAAUCUACCAAGUGACGGUAACUAACCAGAAAGGGACGGCUAACUACGUGCCAGCAGCCGCGGUAAUACGUAGGUCCCGAGCGUUGUCUGGACUUAUUGGGCGUAAAGCGCGCGCAGGCGGUUCUUUAAGUCUGAAGUUAAAGGCAGUGGCUUAACCAUUGUACGGUUUGGAAACUGGAGGACUUGAGUGCAGAAGGGGAGAGUAAAAUUCCAUGUGUAGCGGUGAAGUGCGUAGAUAUAUGGAGGAACACCGGUGGCGAAAGCGGCUCUCGGGUCUAAAACUGACGCUGAGGCUCGAAAGCGUGGGGAGCAAACAGG